rnacentral:lncRNA from 1 species
GGAAAUCCCAAAUACAAGUGCUAUAAGUAGGUACAUAGGUGGUCUCUAUACAUGGAUACAAAAAUCUCUCACUCUCUCUCAACUACAAAAAGAAAGAGUAAACCACCUAGGCAAAGUACCGCUCCUCGCUAGCUAGCUAAGCGAUCCCCUUGCCGCGAUCCCGUGCCUCCGCCGGUGCCGAAGGCUCUGAAAAGUAAACCACAAAACGGGGGCAUGAGAACUAUUAAAAAUAGUUCCCAGUGGGCAAUUACUGACUUCAGUGAAUGCACCACAAGGCCCAAAGCUACAGAAGAUGUCAGUGACUAUAAAAGUAGAAAGGUGGCAGGUAAGUAAAAAUGUAACCUACUACGACAUGAUAUCUCUACUUAGCAUGAAUAGUAAAAGUAUGAAAGCAACUAUGCAUGAAGUAAAGUCUCCAACUAUCAUAAUGUUCACAAUGCGAAAUAGUAAAGUUCCGUUGUUUACUAUUCUAGUCAAUGUCCAAAUAAUACUCUAAGUCAUCAUCUAUCCACAUGUCAUAACGGAUAUAUAAAGUCCAAUCUGAAGAGACCCACCCGAAGGCUGUCUAUGGCCCUGAGACCCACCCGUAGGCUGUCUGGCCGGUGCCGAGCCUAAUGGUCCCGUGGUAGUCAUCAUCCCCACCCUAGGAAUGAGCCUGGCCCACGGCAAUCCACUUCGGCGCCCAAUCCCGCACGGCGAAUAUGUAUCGCGAUGGCCAUCUCCGGAGUGCCGGCUUGUAGGGAGCGACCCUCACAAGCAUGUGCGAAUGAGCACAAUGGCAAGUAGUCAAACGAUCUGUCGCAAGUACCAAGUCCUCACGUCUAAUAACAUGGAAUGUGUCAGGUAUCUCAAUGGCCUAUCCCUAUGUCAUCAUGUCUCUAACAUGGAAUAUAGCAGAUAUGUAGUGGCCUAUCAAUAUGUCUCUAUAUUGCAGUUUCAUAGUUUACUAGUUUCAAGUGCCCCUUUAUGACACUCUUGCUCUCUAUGUCAAAACAUGGCAACUAUAUUCCAAGGUACAUAUUCCAAGUCAUCAUCAUCAUAAGAGAUGUAUUUUUCAUUUGCAAAACAAGCACAUUUCCCGUAUGCAUGCAUUCUACUCAUAUAGCUCUACUAUAUAGUGAAAUUUUCAUAAUACACAAGGCAUGCAUUUUAAGUGCUCUAAGAUUCAUAUAAAUUCCAUUUAGCAUAGAAAUGAAUCUAAAAAUAUUUUACAACAAGUAGAAAGAGCAUAGGGGCCAUUUUGUCCCAUUUCCACGAAGCCAAACCCACCGAUGGCAACGAAACUCCUCGUGCGCUCCAACGAGGGUGUCCUCUAGUCUCCUAGUAUCCUAGAGGUACAAGAACAUGCGUCACACGAACGAAACGAACCAUCAAUAGCUCAAUCAUUAAGCUAAUCAAGUAUAGGUGAGAAGAACUCACCUCUAGAGCAAAAAUCUCCUCUAAAGCUCCAAAAUGAAGCUAGGGCUCAUCCAAUCCAACCUAAUGGAAGCCUCUAAUCCAAUCAAUCUAGCUUCAAAAGCCCUAAAUUCAAAAUGCCCAAAAUAAACCCUAAUAUCACAAUCUAGGGUUUCAUCUCAUGAAAUCCAAUAAAACUCAAAUCUAGAGGAAGAUAGUGUAAUGCUUACCUCUUAGAAGCUUCAAAUCAAGCUCUAAAUCCUUUAAAUCCCAAGAUCUAUCCUCCACUUAGCUCCAAAUCCAAGCUUCUAGCUCCCAUUAAUGGUGGAGAAGCAUAAAAGAGGAGGGAAAAGGGAUUAAUCCAUCAAAAUCUAGGCUAGAGGGAGAUUAAAACCAAAGAGAAGCAAAGAGAAGCUCUCCUUACCUUGCUCCCUGCAGUGGCAAGCUCAAAGAAAAGCCCUAGGGGCGUGGGUGCUGUUAUAGUAUUGCUACAAUAGCAAAAACACCCCUGCAGAACAAACUGCACGAAAU